AUUCUUUCCUUGGAUAUCUUUGGGUUUUCCCUUAGAUGAUUUGGGUAAGUUUAAAGCAUUAUUUAUUGCAACAGCUAUAAUGUUAGCCCUUUUCUUUUGACCCUCAUCUGGAUCCCAAUUGUUGAUUACAGAAAAGGCUGUGUUCAGCAAUUGCAACAUAGGUGUCUGUGGACCCAUCUGAAGUUUUUUGUAAUUUAUGCCAACAAGUAAAAUGAUGUCCCACCAGUGGUUCUCCCUCCCUGGAAGAUGGAUCUAUGCUUGUAUAUUUAUUAGAGACUUCCACUGAUUUACUACAGAAGACACCUGGAUUUUCCUCUUUGCCCUGAAUGAUCCAUUCACCUUAUCAUAAUUUACAGAUUUUUAAAAUAUGCCUUUCAUCCCCAUGGCCAUCAGGCAUAUAUGUAAAUUACCUGAAUUUUGUUAGAAGAAACAAGGAAGAAAUCUAGCCCAAUUCAAAAGAAAAGAAGAAGGAAGUCCAUACAUUGCCUAAAAUUGGAGGCUUAUCUCCUGCUUACAAGAGUGAGAUUUCCCCGGAUCAUAAAGCAAGUUGACAAAAAAGGAAAAAAUUGUAAACAAACUUGGUGGUGGUUGACCCAAAAUGGUGAUCACUUAUGUGAUAGGACAAUAUGGCAGUCAGUCAUGUGAUGAGAGAAGAUGGUGACCCAGACUAAGAUAGUGAUAUAGGGGGAAUAGAUGUAACUCAAACCUGCUAGAUAUCCAAAAUGUGAGUUCAUGUUCUCUAAAAUUGAAGAAUGAGGGCCAGGGAUGUAGCUCAGUGGUGCCACCCCUGCCUGGCAAGUGCAAAGUCUUGAGUUUGAUCCCUGGUACCAGAAAAAAAAAUUAAAGAAUGAAUUCUAGGAACAAUUGAGGUUAAGAGUAGGAAAAUUUACUGAGAAAAAGAUAGCUUCUGUCUAAGAGAGACAGAAGGGGAACCGAAAAUUUGGUUCCCCACCCACUCUCCUUCUCAAAGGUGUCUUAUGGGACAAAGCUACAAGGUGAGGUGAGUUCAUGGUGGGACAAAACUAUAGUCAACUAGUAAGAUUGAAAGUACAGUCAUUUAGGUAAUAUUGGUCCAAUGAGAAAUCACAAGGUGGACAUGAGGUGGGACAAAAUUAUGAUCAACCAAUAAGAUUAUGACAAGUUUAAUUGC
rnacentral:lncRNA from 1 species